GGGUACACACUGCCGCUGGGGAGGAAGGACUGCACCUUCAGCUCCCUGGGGUACACACUGCCGCUGGGGAGGAAGGACUGCACCUUCAGCUCCCUGGGAUACACACUGCCGCUGGAGAUCUGGGCUGACCGCCCAGCAUCCCUGUAGGGCCGGUAGAGAGACCGCCGUCCCAUCUCCACCUGCCAUCUGUGGGUCUUCCCAGGACCAGUCUGUG